CUUUAGUAGUGGCACAAGCUGCUUCUUUCAUUAACCCUGCAGCUGGCAGAUGUUGCCAGCCUCUUUCUGCUAAUUACUAGACCCAAGGAAUAAAUAGUGGAUUACAAUCCUCAAACCACUCUACUCUGGAAAUCAAAUCAACAGGCAGUAAUUUAAAAAAACCAUGCAUCAUCUAGCUCAGUGGUUCCCAAACUUUUUAGGUUCAAGGCGCCCUUAAU